rnacentral:rRNA from 1 species
UGCGUAGGCGGCGCUGCAAGUCAGAUGUGAAAUCCCCGGGCUUAACUCGGGGGUGCAUUUGAAACUGCAGUGCUUGAGUGCAGGAGAGGAAAGCGGAAUUUCUAGUGUAGCGGUGAAAUGCGUAGAUAUUAGGAAGAACACCAGUGGCGAAGGCGGCUUUCUGGACUGUAACUGACGCUGAUGCACGAAAGCGUGGGGAGCAAACA